UUUGGACAAUGGGGGAAACCCUGAUCCAGCCAUCCCGCGUGUAUGAUGAAGGCCUUCNNNUUGUANAGUACUUUUGGCAGAGANGACNAGGUAUCCCCUAAUACGGGAUACUGAUGACGGUAUCUGCAGAAUGAGCACCGGCUAACUACGUGCCAGCAGCCGCGUUAAUACGUAGGGUGCAAGCGUUAAUCGGAAGUACUGGGCGUAAAGCGUGUGUAGGCGGUUCGGAAAGAAAGAUGUGAAAUCCCAGGGCUCAACCUUGGAACUGAAUUUUUAACUGCCGAGCUAGAGUAUGUCAGAGGGGGUAGAAUUCCACGUGUAGCAGUGAAAUGCGUAGAUAUGUGGAGGAAUACCGAUGGCGAAGGCAGCCCCCUGGGAUAAUACUGACGCUCAGACACGAAAGCGUGGGGAGCAAACAGG
rnacentral:rRNA from 1 species